GCAGACCCUGUAAGCUUCGGGUUCAUGCAUACUUUGGUAGGUGGCAGAUAUGAGAUGGCCUAUGACUAUGCUGAGUGGUCUGAUCUAUGAUCAUCUGGAUAAUUAGAAUUCUACCAUU
rnacentral:snoRNA from 1 species